AUACGGAGGAUGCGAGCGUUAUCCGGAUUUAUUGGGUUUAAAGGGAGCGUAGGCGGGAGCUUAAGUCAGCGGUUAAAUGGUGCGGCUCAACCGUGCCCUGCCGUUGAAACUGGGUUUCUUGAGAGUGCAAGAGGCGGAUGGAAUUCAUGGUGUAGCGGUGAAAUGCUUAGAUAUCAUGAAGAACUUCGAUUGCGAAGGCAGUCCGCUGGGGCACGUCUGACGCUGAUGCUCGAAGGUGCGGGAAUCAAACAGGAUUAGAUACCCUGGUAGUCCGCACGGUAAACGAUGAUUACCCGCUGUCGGCGGUAGACAGUCGGCGGCCAAGCGAAAGCGAUAAGUAAUCCACCUGGGGAGUACGCCGGCAACGGUGAAACUCAAAGGAAUUGACGGGG
rnacentral:rRNA from 1 species